GUGGUAAAUGUCAUUGUUUUCUGCAUAAAAUAGUCUAAAGGUAAGAAAACAGUAAAGUGUCUAAUAGAUGAUUAGUAAGUUAUAUAAUAUCCUGUAAAGAUUACACCAUAUAGUUGUGUUAAGUAUCGACAAUACUUAGUUAUGUCAAUUAAUAUGUAUUAGCAUAGAAAAUAUGUAUUAUCUAUUGUUAAAGUUAAAAAUCAAGUUCGCAAUUAAAGAUCCUUGCCUUCUCAAGUAACAUGAUAACAACAUGAAUCUAGCCCUAAGCCUAUUAUUACCAACUAAAUAAACCAAUUAUCUAAUUAAUGACAGACAUUUAAAAUAAUUAUUGUCCAAUGGAAUGUUAUACAUUGAUAUUAUGAAAAUAGAAACAAAAAGUUAUUUGUAAUUGUUUAAAUAUGAUUUU
rnacentral:lncRNA from 1 species